GUGGGGAUUCUUGCGCAAUGGGCGAAAGCCUGACGCAGCCAUGCCGCGUGAAUGAUGAAGGUCUUAGGAUUGUAAAAUUCUUUCACCGGGGACGAUAAUGACGGUACCCGGAGAAGAAGCUCCGGCUAACUUCGUGCCAGCAGCCGCGGUAAUACGAAGGGGGCUAGCGUUGCGCGGCAUUACUGGGCGUAAAGGGCGCGUAGGCGGACAGCUUAGUCAGAGGUGAAAGCCCAGGGCUCAACCUUGGAAUUGCCUUUGAUAGUGGCUGUCUUGAGUUUGGGAGAGGUGAGUGGAACUCCGAGUGUAGAGGUGAAAUUCGUAGAUAUUCGGAAGAACACCAGUGGCGAAGGCGACUCACUGGCCCAAUACUGACGCUGAGGCGCGAAAGCGUGGGGAGCAAACAGGAUUAGAUACCCCUGUAGUCC
rnacentral:rRNA from 1 species